AGGGAACUACAAUCUCUUAGAGAUUAAUGAAAGAAAAUUUCUUCACAUACUUCACCAGUUCUAUGGUAAUCGUAAUCACGCAGGACGCGAAUGGCCAGCUUGGUGUUACCGCUUCACAAAUAACAUAAAUCCAGUGCGGGAAGAAACGAGCGAACUAGUCAACAGGCCUGGAGCACAAAACAACGAGAGCUGCAAGGAUUGCACGUUGCCGUUGGGUGGAACGAAUCAAGAACUCUGAUCGAUACAAGUAUUCAUGAUUUUAGUAAGCGUUGUAGGACAGCCGAAAGAUCAUAGUGGUCAACUUGAGAAUAUUGAUACUCAUUGGAGCAAGAAACUGAUUUAACUCAGCUCAAUUCUAUUUUUCAAUAGUUGGCUCAAAUACAUGCCUAGUAUAUGUAAUGAAAAGAAUUAGGAUUAUUUUCUUGCUCUAAUAACACCACAUAUUGUAGCCUUGAACGAUCUGUGCCCGUGAAGGUAGCUUGGCAGGUAGCGCCAAUAAUAAGAAUGUUCGAAGGGCCUUCGCUCGAGACGUUGAAGUCCUCCCUGUAUUCUCAGUCAGGUAGUUGCAUCCUUAGCAAUCCAAAGCUGAUGACCUACAGUAUUGUUGCCUCUGUAGUAGCGAAAUCAGAUGAUAUCCCUACAUUUAGCUUACAUUUUAACUGCAUGGUGUGUAGUCUACUACCUUUUUGGUCACUGAACUCAACAAAAGUACAACCAUGCACAGAACCAGUAAAUUUCAUACCAUCCCAAGCCACUUAUCGUAGUGGGAGAAAUUGUCCUAUGUCUACUGAACUAUAUAUUUCAACGCAUUGGUCGCAGCGACGAAGCCAAUCAAGUUAAUGCAAACCAUUACAUGCAGGCUCGGAUGACUAAACACGACGACCAAUGCCAAAUCAUGCAAACGCGUUCUGCGGUCGGUUGUGCGAUUGCCAGAUAGCGCUCUUCAUUGGGU